GAACGCUGGCGGCGUGCUUAACACAUGCAAGUCGAGCGGAAAGGCCCUUCGGGGUACUCGAGCGGCGAACGGGUGAGUAACACGUGAGCAACCUGCCCCAAGCUUUGGGAUAACCCCGGGAAACCGGGGCUAAUACCGAAUAUUACCUGUGGUCGCAUGACUGCGGGUGGAAAGUUUUUCGGCUUGGGAUGGGCUCGCGGCCUAUCAGCUUGUUGGUGGGGUGAUGGCCUACCAAGGCGACGACGGGUAGCCGGCCUGAGAGGGCGACCGGCCACACUGGGACUGAGACACGGCCCAGACUCCUACGGGAGGCAGCAGUGGGGAAUAUUGCACAAUGGGCGGAAGCCUGAUGCAGCGACGCCGCGUGAGGGAUGACGGCCUUCGGGUUGUAAACCUCUUUCAGCAGGGACGAAGCGAGAGUGACGGUACCUGCAGAAGAAGCGCCGGCCAACUACGUGCCAGCAGCCGCGGUAAGACGUAGGGCGCGAGCGUUGUCCGGAUUUAUUGGGCGUAAAGAGCUCGUAGGCGGCUUGUCGCGUCGACCGUGAAAACUUGGGGCUCAACCCCAAGCCUGCGGUCGAUACGGGCAGGCUAGAGUUCGGUAGGGGAGACUGGAAUUCCUGGUGUAGCGGUGAAAUGCGCAGAUAUCAGGAGGAACACCGGUGGCGAAGGCGGGUCUCUGGGCCGAUACUGACGCUGAGGAGCGAAAGCGUGGGGAGCGAACAGGAUUAGAUACCCUGGUAGUCCACGCUGUAAA
rnacentral:rRNA from 1 species